AGAGUUUGAUCAUGGCUCAGGACGAACGCUGGCGGCGUGCUUAACACAUGCAAGUCGAGGGCACUGGGGCAACUCAGUGACCGGCGAACGGGUGCGUAACACGUGAGCGACCUACCCGCUUGUGGGGGAUAGCCGGCCCAACGGCCGGGUAAUACCGCAUACGCUCUUCUGGGGGCAUACCUGGGAGAGGAAACUUCAGGGGCAGGCGGAGGGGCUCGCGGCCUAUCAGCUCGUUGGCGGGGUAAUGGCCCACCAAGGCGAUGACGGGUAGCUGGUCUGAGAGGAUGGCCAGCCACAUUGGGACUGCGAGACGGCCCAGACUCCUACGGGAGGCAGCAGUGGGGAAUCUUGCGCAAUGGCCGCAAGGCUGACGCAGCGACGCCGCGUGCGGGAGGACGCCCUUCGGGGUGUAAACCGCUGUUGCCCGAGACGAAUGGCCCUUUUCGAGGGGCGUGACGGUAUCGGGUGAGGAAGCACCGGCUAACUCCGUGCCAGCAGCCGCGGUAAUAC
rnacentral:rRNA from 1 species